ensembl:lncRNA
CGUAAUUCUAUUUAUAAUACCCAGGAAAAGCAAGCUGAGACUUUCCCACAGUGCCUGCCUUGCAGGCGAUUGUUGUUCGGGAAGCUGGAAUGUACACGAUAUUAUUUUUGAAUCCCCCGGGAAGGAUUUCAUUGCGCGUCCCUUCGUGUCCCCAUCUGUGCCGAGGAACGUUUUGCUGAGCGCGAGGCCUUUGCUGCUGCUUGCAGCUCUGAGAAGCUUUGCUGAGAUGCUUUGGGUGUCUCUGUGCCUGCAGCACACAUGUGUCCGCCAUCCCCAGUGCUUCUGGGUAUUUUGCAGGGUGCCCAGAUGUGCUGCUAGGAUGGUGGUUCCACCCCUGCCUGCCCGUUCCCAAGGCACUUCUCACUGCCAGUGGGGUCUGUGGCACGUGUGACUCUUCCAUUUGCCAGCACUGCAAAGCAGUGCGCUGCUGUUGUUCUUAGGGCAUUUCUCUGCCUCUUUUUGCUGUCCUUGCUGUACAGCAGCGAGGCUUUGCUGGGCGCUGUCAUCCUGCUGCCUAGAGUGACAGUUCACUAGGCAAGCAGCUUCCCAGCUCCCAAAGCUCUGUGCGUUCUUUUAGCAUGCCAUCCCACGUGGCAGUCCAGCAGAGUGUGUUCCUUUCCCGGCCUGGGAACACUUCUUGUGCUGCAACCACCGUGAGGUAGGGCUGGCACCUCAGAGCUGCUUUGCUGUUUGUUGUGCCAGUUUUAGGAUUCGUUAUCCCAAAUUCCAGGUGAUGAUGUCUGCAGGCCUCGAUGUUUAAGGGCCUGGCAGCCUCACAGUGCUGCCUGGGGUGGAAGAUGCUAGGUGGAGAGAGGCGAGGAGGAGAUGACAGGAGGACAACUGGUUGGUCACAGCCUUCCUGAACAUGGGACUGACAGCAGAGAUGCUACCCAGGUGUUCAGGCCUGCGGAGGACAGCAGGGUCCCCGUGGGAAGGGAUCGUCUCUUGAAUGUUUGCUCUGCGUUCUUCCUUGGCAUCAGUCCUGGCCAUGAGUUUGUGUGAGAAACGGCCAUAAGUGCGUUCACCCUUCUGGCUGGCUCCGUGGCAAUGCAGUCACCAGCUCCCCGCCGACCUCGCAGCCAUGCAGCCUCGCAGAUAAGGAAACCCGUGCUGCUGCAGAGCUGGUUGUACUAGGGAAGCUGUAGCCUUUCCCUCUGCCUGCUCCCACAGUGAGUACCGCGUGCUUUUCCCUUGGCUGUGCCCUCACCAUCGCAACCAGAACCUCAGAGCCCUCAGUGCCACAUAGCUGUGUCGGAGGUGUGCUGUCUCAUGGAAAACAUUUUGGAUCAGAGCUUUCAAAUUAAAGAUAGAAAAAGGAAUUUGCAGGCUCAGUGAAACUGCUCAGGUCUCCCCGCUGAGGCUGACUAUGUGUUCACCCUCCAGACUGCUUGGGAACGAAGGCAAAGAGAAGAACAUUGUCCCGCAAAGCCAUGUGCCUCGCUUGCAGUCUGGGAGCUGAGGCACAGCUUCUGACUUUGCUCUGCAGCCCCUGUGUCCCAACCACAACCCAGGACACUGAUCAACCUGAAGCUGCUGGUUUUCUUGUGAUGGGCUCCUGUAUGCGUUCCAAAUACUGUUGAGGCUGCUCUGUGGGUAUUUUUAGUGUGCAUCAGGUGCCAACGAGGAAAACAAAAGCCUCUUCUUCAUGAGCCCACGUCUGCAGUUAUUUCCAGUGCCUGUGUCCUCGUGUGCAUCCUGCAGCCCUUGGGGCUCCGACAGCAGGCACUGAGAAAAACCAAGCUUGGGAAAAAUCUAAAUACUUCCCAAGGAAGAACUUCAGGAAAUGCCCAUCAAACAGCUGAGCAGGGGAUUCCUGAGCAGGUUUCCUGUGCUUCUUUGAAAUGCUGAUAAAAAGCUUCGUGAGAUACCUGCACAGAGGAAUUUCCCAAACAGGGCACUGAAAGCUUCACACCACAAUGUAUGCGUGAUACUGGAGCUCCCACACGUGCUGGGUGUUUGGAUAGCGUUCUUAGACCUGCUGAAACCUGCGUAAUGUAGUAAUUAUGGGCUGCUAGCUGUUGAAAGGACUCGUGAAGCUACUCCAAGGGGCAGCUGUCACCUGGGUCCUUCAGAUCCCAGCUCAUGUUUGCCUCUGCACGUCCUCAGCAUGCAAACAGGGCUGAGGGAAAGCACCCUGCCUCCUCCUGUCCCUGGGUGCAGGGAUGGCAAUGGCCGGCAGCACUGACAUCUGCCUCCUGGUGUGACCCCAAGGAUGUGACUUUGGGACAGAAACAACAUGCAGCCAGGCACCCCUGAAAUGCAGCAGGGUCAUGGGAUCCAGCUCUGGCAUUAGUGUGCAGUCCUGAACAUCUGCACCAACAUUUGUGUGCCCAGCCAUCAUUGCAGCACCUGUAGCCAUCUGAGCUGGCGCUGGCUGAAGCAUGAAGCCAGGUGAAGGGGUGGGUUCUUUGGGACUGGCAAAAUAUCCCAUGUGCCUUUCAGUGUUUUCCUCUUUUUUUUUUUUUUUAAUUAUGCUUGGAGCCUCUUCUGAACAGUAAAACCUAAAAAAUAUUGGGGAAAAUCUUAAUGUGCCACUUUUGGAUCUGACAGUGUUUGUUUGUUUGCUUGUUUUUGAGGGUAGCAAUUUACAAAGUCCUGCUUUUGGGUCCUUCCUUCCCCACAUCUCUGCUGGGAACUGCCGGUGCCCCCAUCCCACCACGGGAGCCCUGGGCUGGGAACACAGCAGUGCCUGCUGCUGGGGAGGUAACGCCGCGAACCAGCCUGCGCAUCUUGCAGCCUCUACAAUAUUGCCAAACCUUGUAACACAGAACCAGAUCCCUUUCCAAACCAGCCCCUUGCAGCCCUUCCUUCCUCUCCAAACUGCACCAAUCUCCAGCCAGAGCGAGCCUUGGGUCUGCCCUGCUUCACCCACCUCGUCGCUUCUGUCCCUGCCUCGCAUCUCCCCGCAGCGGUGUUCGGACGCCUCGCCUCUCUCCCGCUGGCUGAGAGCAGCGUGGAUUUCCUUCCAGCGUGACGGUUGGGGUCACUCUUUCACAACGAGCGCUUUCCUCCCGGUACGAUCAGCUCAGCGUCGCGUCCCGCUGACGCCCAACCAGGAUUUCAAGCUUUUGGGACUGCCUUCCCUGGAAAAAAUUAGCGACAUGUUUGAUUUUAAAUAGCGGAAGCGUGCGGGAAUAAGCUUUUCUGUGUGGGUUCGGAAGUUUGCUAAAACACUCUGUGAGCUGC